rnacentral:rRNA from 1 species
AGCCUAGCAGCUAGCCCACCCAGUCCAGAAAAAAAAUAAAUAUUAAUAAACCCAAAUGUCCUACCCCCCCCCCCCAAAAAAAACCCAUUUUUCCCCUUGAGAAUUGGGUGAUUCUAAAAAAAACUUUGGGACCUUUAAAAAAAAUCCCCCGCGGGGAAACCCGAAAAAAGAAAAGAAAAUACCCCCAGUAAAGCCCCAAAAA